AAACACAAUACUCCAGUUUGAAACCACCCCCACGGCUUGAGUUCCCCUGUUUCGCACGGCACACCCCCGGCUCAUAUAGCUCUCGCUCCCGCGUCAAGUUUCCGGCAGCCGCCGCCGCGCGCGUGGCCACUAGGCUUCGGGCCGUCGCCGCCCACCCCAGUUGUCACCGCCAUCUCGCCACCCGCUUUCUUUUCCCCUUCCUCUUCUUCCUUGCUCCCUCACAUCCCCUCGCGGCCUCGCCAGGUUUCCGGCAGCCAUCGCCACGCGCGUGCCCGGACUGGACGGAGCUUCCGCUGGACGCUCCACUGCGCGCGGCGUGCCCAGCUCUGGUGCCGCAUGGACAUUCGCUGCCGUCCGCUGCAGCGCGGAGCAGCGCGAGGCGUUCUGGCCAAACACGACCCCGCCACGUCCAAUCGCCAGCAAGUCAUGCGAGCUCUCUCUAUCUGGAGCUAUGGACAGGUGACGGGUUAUCAAAGCAUUACACACAACUCUGCCAUCCACAUGAAGAUUAAUUCCUAUUUGUAUGACUAUGAGACUAACUCUACCAUAUUAUGUAGUUCGAUAUUAACAUGUUCAGAUUCUAACUACUGGCUCUACGGCGGUGGUCAGAACCCUAGACCUAGUGGCGGUUGCUCUGGAAAUAAGACGAAGGAGAACGACAUGGGACGGCAGCUCAGUGAGUGUUAUGUGUAGGUCUGCCAUGCGGCCCGUGCAGGAACAGGGAUGGGCUCAAAAAAUUAUUAUAUUCCCACACUACCCUUCAUGCUGUUCUACCCGACCCAUCAGUGCACAUAUAGUGUUUCCUUGAUUACAGUAGUAUACUGCGGCGUGCCAAUGUGGACCUUUGGAUUUUCACAAAUGGAUGGCCUGUAUUCAAUACAGGGUACCAUAGAACAGCUCGGAGAUGAAGCAAGAUACUACCGCCAUCUUUGAGGUGGUUGCGAUUGAGGCGGAGAAGAAGGCAGAUGUUAUGAAGGAGAAGGCAGCUGAGGCAAAGCUGAAGAUGGAGAAAGCGAACAAGACGAUGGUGUUGAUGGUAGAGAGCAAUCAAGUGCUAGCUGACCCCGAGCAGCCACUCUCCGUUAAUAGUGUUUGGCAAGCUAUUAAUCUAAGAACAAGUUUUAACUACUACUCCCUAUGUUCCUUUUUAUAAGAUGUUCUAGCUCCCAAGUCAACUUCUUAAA